CUCGCGCGACAAGGGAACACUACAGAUAAAAGGCGAGCAGUGAGCACGAAGCAUAGAGCCCUAAAGGUGCGACGACGUCGUAGAGAACAGGUUGCUACAUUCUUGACGGGGUUUUCCUCAGAAUUCUUUCAUGAUGCUUCGUUUCAUCUGUUUGUUCCUGGCGGGAGGAAUUCUUUCCACCGAGGCAAUGCAUACACCCAAAGCUUUGCACAAAGACGUGAGUCAGUUCAUGGAGAUCCCGUGUCCCAACUCCCCGUGGAUCGACUUUGCAUACUUCUACCUCUCUGAGGACGGCUACGGAAAUUCCGGAUGCGACUACUAUAUGGAGUUGGACCUUCGGACCAAAGUGGAAGAGUUCUGCAAGCGGAGUCCGGGGCCUUGCUCCUUCAAGUUGGCGGAGGUGCUCGGUCAGGAACCCGAUCACUCUUGCGUCAGUUCCUUCGAUGUCGGCUACCUCUGCUUCUAGACGGGUGUGGCAAGGCUGGACAGAUGACAUCAUACGGCGUCGAUAAUCGCUCCUUUCCAGAGAAAGGACAUACAAGGCGUUCCCUUAAUUAGCAAAAGUUUGAUGAGGUAACCUACAAUCGAACUGCCCAUAUGCAUCGUAGAUUAAGUGAUAAAGUAUUGUAAUUCUGAAACAGAGCUUUUGCCGCGCGACUAGUAUUUUCAUUAAUGUGAAACAUGGAUGUUACUUUCAAAAGGUUACACUGUCACUUUUCAUUUGCCUUUGGAUGGGAAAUGGUUUGCAAUUGUACCUUCAAAUUAAAGUUCUUAAAUUGCAUGCCGACGCAACACCUCCCCAGUCUUACAACCCUUUGAGAAGUCAUAUUUUCAUUUUCCAUUUCAAAUAUUUUGAACUAGGAGGAGAUGCAUUUCACAACCGAAUAACAGUCCAUGUUCCAGAAGAUGGCUUAUACUUUCAAAAUAGUAAAAGUGUGUGCCAACUGCGGUCCUGCUAACGAAUCCUGAUUGUGAGAUGGAACAGAAUUGGACUUUUCUUAAUAUCUGAGAAUCACAUUUCCCCGUUUAAAAUAAAUGUAUAAAAUUGUGUAUGUCAACAUAACAAGGAAAGUAUCAUCCGUGUCCAGUUCAAAGCAACUGUUUUUAAUAAUGUCCAAUCAUAAAUAGAGAUACGGGUACACACAUUAUCCGGGCAUAAACGUGAAAAAAAUAGAAA